rnacentral:rRNA from 1 species
AGCAACGCUGGCGGCGUGCUUACACCUGCAGUUAAACGAGGUCCAUCCAAUCUUCGGAGAGGUGAAGACCUAGUGGCGAACGGGUGCGUAACACGUGAGAAACCUGCCCCGGUCUCUGGGAUAACAGUUGGAAACGACUGCUAAUACCGGAUACCGCCGGACCGUCGCAUGGCGGACCGUCGAAAGGGUUACCGGAUCGGGAGGGUCUCGCGGCCUAUCAGCUUGUUGGUGAGGUAACGGCUCACCAAGGCAUCGACGGGUAGCUGGUCUGAGAGGAUGAUCAGCCACACUGGGACUGAGACACGGCCCAGACUCCUACGGGAGGCAGCAGUGGGGAAUAUUGCACAAUGGGCGAAAGCCUGAUGCAGCAACGCCGCGUGCGGGAAGAAGGCCCUAGGGUUGUAAACCGCUUUCAGCAGGGAAGAAAAUGACGGUACCUGCAGAAGAAGGUGCGGCCAACUACGUGCCAGCAGCCGCGGUGACACGUAGGCACCAAGCGUUAGUCCGGAUUUAUUGGGCGUAAAGAGCUCGUAGAGCGGUUCAGUAAGUCGGGUGUGAAAACUCUGGGCUCAACCCAGAGACGCCACUCGAAUACUGCUGUUGACUAGAGUGCGGUAGGGAGCGGGGAAUUCCUAAGAUGUAGCCGGUGAACUUGCCGCAGAUAUCACGGACGGAACACACCAAGU